CCUUGGAUUGGCUGCUGACUCGUCCAUGGCCCCGCCCCUGCUCCCCUACCCACUAACCAGCGUUCUGUGUCCUUGCUCCCCUCCUCCCCCACCUCCCACCCCGCCUCGCCAAGCUCCCUCAACUCUCGUUCCCUGGUUUCCGUUGCGAAGGUAGCAGCGUCUGUUGGUUGUCAAGAUGGCGGCGGCGGCGGAGUCGGCAGGGCUGCUGCUGCUGCUGCUGCUGGUGCUGCCGCUGCCAGGCGGGGUCGCCGCCGCCGCUGCUGCAGCUGCUGCCAUCGCCACCGACGCCAACACCACCAGCAGAACCGCUGCGCGGGAGCCUGGGCUGGCGCGGCCCACCCUGCUGCACUCGUAACUCGAGGCCUCUGGGAUCUAGGGAGUGGGGGACAAGUGGGGAGGGAGGGGAGGGGAGGGGAGGGUGGGGAGGACAGAAGGGCACCGCGCAGCUGACAUGAGGGAAGCAUCUGGGGGUCGGCAGAGAGUCAAGGAGGCUUUGGGCUGAGAGAUGCUGACGGGCCGGCCUGGGGCCAAGAGCCCAGCCCGGGGACCAGGCACUGUCCCUGUCUCCCCGGGCCCCCAACGGAGAAGCCAUUUACUACAAGGGAACAACUUCUAUCAGACUAGAAAUAUGAAGAUCCAUCUAGAAAGAAAUUUAGAAGAAGAACGUCAGAAAUUGCUGCAGGAACAAAGAAUAUGUCGAAGUCGAGCACGUAAAUAUUCUAUAGAAUCAAACAGAAGAAGAAAAGCUUUUGAAGAGAAACGCAAAAAAGAAGAAGAAAAGGAACACCAGAUAAGGGAACAAAUUCUUCAACAAAGAAAACAGAAACUUGAAGAAGUUACUGAAAAAUUCCAACGUGCUCAUAUCCCUCCUCAGCGCAAGAAAACAGUUAACCAAAAAACAGUACCCCGUUUAGAAGAGGCCCUUGAACAAAUUCAGAGAUUCAGCUUGAAACCAGAAUUUAACUAUUCCUCUUCCAAUAGACCUACAAUGAACUGGAAAAAUAUAGAUUCUGCUGUGGCUUCUGUAGUGACAAGAAUAGAGCCCAUGUAUCAGAGACAUCUCUCAUCCAGGGUUAACUGGUCUAACUGUGACAGAGAAAUGCAGGAAAAUAGCAAAAUAAACUUAACUGUUGGCCAGGAAGACAAUUUCCAGCAUAAUCUUGAAGAAACUCAGCAGCUCUUAGAAGAACUGAAUCUAAACAAUAUACGGGAUCUUCAUGAAGAAGUUAAUCAACUAACAAAUUCUGAAACUCUGUCAAGUAUAGACAGUCUUGAAGCUGGAGACCAUGAAGAAAUCUAUUCAACACUUGGUAAAGCUCCAUCUUCAGCAAUCCAGCAGAACUUUGUAUCUCACAGUUCAGAGAGUCCACAACCAACAAAUCAGGUUAAUUUUGAUGCAGGUGAAUUGCAUCUCUCUAAAACUCAACAUAUAAAUAAUUGGCUAAUAAACUUGGGUGAUCAAAAUAUACAGACAGCCUCUCCUUUUCCAGACUUUAUAAAUAAACAUAAUGAACAUUUUAAUAAUACAAAACUAAAAUCAUUUGCUUUUAACAAGGUUGCUGACAGAAGUACAGAUGCUUCUGAUAAUACAGUAGCCUUUAUACAUAGCCCAUGUACUUUUUCACAAGAUAAAAAGGCUGAAAAGACCUCAGAAACCUGCAGUAUAUGGAAAGUUGACUCUCAAUUUUCUAGAAUAUCCAAAAGAGAGAAACCAUUAAUUACUGAGAGUCCAACAUUUAAAUUCAACAAAAAUUGGACUACUUCAUCUUCUACUAUAAAAGAAAUAAUUCAGUCUUCAGAACAUGAGAAAUGUCCUGAAUUAACUCAACUAAAUAAAACCACUUCAGUACUUGCUUCAAAUUUGCCUAUGGCAACACCUUUAAUAUUACCUUCUAGUCAAUGGACUAACUAUAAAAGUACUUUUAAUACUAUACAUUCACCUAGUUCUUUGCAAAAGAAUAAUAUGCACUUAGAAGAAAUUUGCCCAAUACAGUGUACUGAUGGGAUAGACAUUUUGAAAGAUUUAAAAGAUGAAAGGAUAAAAAACUUUGGAAGUAACUAUCAGGCAUUGCCUUUUUUAUUUCCAGAUGCACUUAAUUCUCCCUAUAUGUUUAACAACUCUGAUCAAAUGGCAGUGAAAGAUAAAAACGAGAAAGCAAUUGGAACCACACCAUCACUAUCUACUAAUUCUGACUUAAUUGGACAACCCAAAAAAACUAAACAUACUAAUCAUGAAAAAAAUGGAGUGAAAUUACUCAAAAGCAUAUUAAAGAAAGAAUCCAAAUAUGAAAAUGAUUGUUUCAAGGCAUUAAUUAUAAAUCGAGGCUUCAACUUGGGAAAUCAAACUGCAGCAGCAAUCAGAGAUAGUGUAGAAUUGACAAAAGGAAAGGGAAAGGCCUCUGAAAUGCAAAAGAGCAUUAAAAAACUUAGAUGGUUUGAUGAAAUUGGCCCAAUAGAAAAAGAAGGUGGAGAAAAUUCAUUGAAAACUGGACUUAUUUCACCACAAGCAUCAUCACAGCCUACUUAUGUUCAAACCAAAGUCAACACUACCAGCAACGUUAGUGCUCCUCCUUGGGCUAUAAAUUCUUCUAGUUAUGAAAACCCCAAGGAUAAUCCUCUUAUUAAAAAAACCACUGCUACACAAAUGCCUGAAACAGAAAAUUUGUCUUUUGAUGCUUUUGUACCUUCAGGUAAAAGCUUUGCAAAAGAAGCCUGGAUGAUCUCAAAAAAAGAGGAAGGUAAAUUCCCUGUUUAUAGUAGUGACUCUAAAAUUCAAAAGACUAUUCCUCGGAGUGGGAUAAUAAAGCUAAUUCGAAGAACAAGGGCUCCCAAAGUCCAAUCAGGUAUUGCAUCUAAAAGCAAAAAAAGCAAUGACAUUAGACCACAGUCAACACAUGAAGCCAACAAGAUUAUAACAACUCAGGGCAAAUUAACUGCACCUCACCCUCCUUAUAAAACUAUAACAAAUAAUAGGAAUAAUAAAACUGUAAAAGAUUCUCAGUGUCAAUCAGUGAUACCUACAAAAUCCCAAAGCAGCACUAUAAAUAGUAGAAACCUAGGUUCAAGGUAUGUUUUACCAACAGAGAACAUUUUUGUUCACCUCUCUCAAGAAAAUAGUCCUUCACUUUGGAACAGUAAUAAUUCUGAGUUUGUCACUCAAAUGCCAUCAUUACCUUCCUAUCGAACGUCUGAUUGCCAAACAUCUGCAAAAGUAAAUUAUACUAUGAAAAGUACUCAGAUGAUUGCCCAGCAAGAUUGUUCAUCAAUUUUCACACGAAGUCCUCUUUAUGAAGAAAAUAGUCACUCUUUGAAGCCCAUUGAAGAAAAAAUUGGUAUUCAAUGGAAAGGAGAACAUAGUGCCCUAGGACAAAACGAGAAGACUACUGAUUCUACUAGUAUAAGAAGAAAAAUGAAUCUUGAAAGUAAUGACAAUAAACCAAAAACUCUUUUAGAGCAAAGAAGACAGCUCUCCAAUUCCAUAAGACAGAAGCCCUUUGAACAGCCACAGAGUAUAAUACAUCCUCUACAACUAAGUACAAGUGAACCAGUACAAAGUCUGAGUGGUAUUUCUCAUACUGAAGAAGUUUCAGAAAGUACUGCCCAGUUUUUGAUGGCUGAAAACUUAGUGAAAUCAUCACUUUCUGAGGAUAAAAUUCUAACUGCCAUGAAACCCAUGCCAUACAAAUCAACUCUUCCUUUACAUAAGACACAACGAUUAAACAUUGGUGCACUGUCUUUUGAAGAACAGAAGAUUCUAGAGUCACUUAAUCACCUCAAUCAAAGAUUACAUUAUAUUUGGUAUUGUGUAGACACAACCUAAAAGUCAGAAGGCCUCUGUUUUUUCCUGGCUCUACCACUAAUCCAUUCCAUCACGUUGGGAAUAUUACUUCAGCUUUCUGUGCCUCAGCAACAAAACAGGAAUAACAGAACCUGCUCUUAUCUUCUUGAAUAGUGAUUCUCCUAGGAUGUCCAAGAAGCCAUUUACAAAAACCCAUCAAUCAAAAGUAUUUUACAAAUAGCAUCUCCUCUGUGACUCAUGAAGAUACAGACAACUUGAAAUCUGCCCCAGUGGAGAAAAUAACCUGCAUCGAUGAGAUCACAUCCAAUCAGAAUAUCUAAAGAUAACCAAACAGGAUGAUAUUUUCACAGCCCCUACAACUGAACCAUAGAACUGAGUCUCUCAGUAGACAAUUUAAUAAAGUUGAGCUAUAAGCUUAACUCCUUCCUAUCUCAGUGUUCUGUUAGGGGAAAGAAAAGGGAUAAUGUGGUAUCUAAGAACAGCCUCUUCUCUGGGCCAUUCUUCCCUCCCAUUUGAGAACUGUAUCUCUCUUGAAGUAGAUUCAGAUCUACAAACAAUUCUGUAAGCAUCCUUAGGACCUCUGCCUCCUUUGGGUUAUGAUUUUCAAUAUUGACUUUGAAUACCAGGAAUAAGAAUUUCAAUUCAAAGAAUUUUCUUUUUUUUUUAAUUGUAUAUACUUAUCCACUAUGCGAGUUACUUUAGCACACUUUCUCAUGCCUGGUUAUGUGUUGCUGACACACGUGCAAAUUUAAAAUGAAUUGCUCUUAUAAAAAGAAAAAUUAGCAAGUUGCACUUUUAUACAGCAGUUCUUGGAUAGAGAGGUCUUACCAGUAGCAUUAAUGUAAUGUAAACAUAAUUGUGACUAGUAUUACAUGAGUGUCAUUUCAGAAUUCUCAGAAUUUUGAGUUAAAUCAUAAAUAUAUGGAUACCCUUUAUGUUAACGUAAGAAAAGGAGACAUCUGAUUAACAAUAUGUUAAAUCCUAGAUUAAGAAUAUUAUAUCACUGUGUUUUUCAUAAACUAAUUAUGUUACAGAACAGUCAGCCAUGGACAACCUCCUUAUCUAUAGGCCGCAGUAUAUCCACUGAAGUUCAAUCCCAAAUACAGAGAAAAUAUUAAUGGAAUUUAACAACUACUAGAUGGAACCUUUAUUUUGAAAUUAUCUUGUAAAUAUAUAAUAUAUUCCUGAAUACUAUAACCAUUUUAAACACUAUACAAUAAAUUGUAAAAUAAAGGCAAGUAAUGGAUAUUAACAAACUAGUUUACAUUUAUAUCGAUUCUGCUUUAUUAUGCACUUUAUUGUUAAAUGCAUUUUAAAUGAAUGGAAAUACCUCAUUUUUUAAUUAGCAUGCUACUGGGUGUUAAUUCACUUUAAAAAGAAAAGAAAAAAUAUUUUAUUAUUCAGAUUAUGUGGGAGCUAUACUCUUAAAACUUUGUUUUUCUGAAAUUCCUAAUAAAUUCUCUUAAUUUUGUAAAA